rnacentral:misc_RNA from 1 species
ACGUCCCUGCGUAGGAAGUGUACUUGCUUCCCUUUCUCGGUUCUUGGUGCCUAGGGCGGGCGAGCGUAGAGCCAUGGCGACCUCGUCACCUCGCACCGCGAUAUCCUCGUCAUCGGCGAUGAAACAGUAUCUGCAGCAAGCAGCGGAGGACGAUGUCGUCUGUGCAUUUGGCCCCGACUACUUCCACGGCGCGCGCGCCGGUGCCUGCGUCGGCUCCCUGUUCUCUGCGACCCUCUGCUGGUACACGUUUCGGCUGUUAAAGGAGGACCAGCGGGAGGCCGACUUCCUCGCCGGUCUCAGGCAGGGCCAGCGCAACCGUCACUUCUCUACUUGGACUCUUCUGCGCGGCUUGCGCACUCAACCGAUGCUCACCACGGGGUGCAUUGCGCUCGCCACCACGUCUGCGAUGAAGUGCAUCAAGUGCUACCUGGCAAACCAGCGCUGCCGCGAGUUUUUCAUUGACGACGUGCAGUUUGAUAUGAUCAGCGAACUGAGUGAAACGGACUCAUACGCGGCGGCUUUUCUGUCGACAGUUUUUCAUAAUGCAACCGGCUGCGGCGCAGGCGCGCACGAUGCAUUCACCACGCUCAGAGAGGAUCGCAGUGAAGGCCAACCCACUCAGUCGCCUUCCCCUAGGGCGUCUGCAUCGACAUCGACGGUGAAUGACCUACUUCACGCCCACAUUAGUAAGCUAGACAGCGAAAAGGUCGCUCUUAUUCACCGCGCGCCAACGUACUACGACGGGGUUGCCGUUGCGUUCCUCGGCUCCGUUUUGGACUGCUACCUGCCGCAAAAGCCGGUGCAGAGGUACUAUAGCAUGCGUGCCGGUACUUGGUAGGAUUAUCUUGUACAGGUCUGUUUAUCCUAGUAGCUUUUUGUUUUGGUAGUGCCGUUUGAUUGCUGCACUGCUUAUUGUAGGGUGUGUGCUUUACACUUUCCUGUUGAAGGCUUUUCAG